rnacentral:rRNA from 1 species
CGCCGGGAACUCUAAGGGGACCGCCCCGGACAACGGGGAGGAAGGUGGGGAUGACGUCAAGUCAGCAUGGCCUUUAUGUCCAGGGCUACACACGUGCUACAAUGGUUGGUACAAAGGGUUGCCAAGCCGUGAGGCGGAGCCAAUCUCAAAAAGCCAACCUCAGUUCGGAUUGCAGUCUGCAACUCGACUGCAUGAAGUUGGAAUCGCUAGUAAUCGCUGAUCAGCAGGCAGCGGUGAAUACGUUCCCGGGCCUU